UGGGGAAUAUUGGUCAAUGGGGGCAACCCUGAACCAGCAAUGCCGCGUGAAGGAAGAAGGCCUUCGGGUUGUAAACUUCUUUGACCAGGGACGAUAAUGACGGUACCUGGAAAACAAGCCACGGCUAACUACGUGCCAGCAGCCGCGGUAAUACGUAGGUGGCGAGCGUUGUCCGGAUUUACUGGGUGUAAAGGGCGUGUAGGCGGGACUGCAAGUCAGAUGUGAAAUCCAGGGGCUUAACCCUUGAACUGCAUUUGAAACUGUGGUUCUUGAGUGAUGGAGAGGCAGGCGGAAUUCCUUGUGUAGCGGUGAAAUGCGUAGAUAUAAGGAGGAACACCAGUGGCGAAGGCGGCCUGCUGGACAUUAACUGACGCUGAGGCGCGAAAGCGUGGGGAGCAAACAGG
rnacentral:rRNA from 2 species